rnacentral:lncRNA from 1 species
GCGUCACCAAUGAAUCUUUUGUAGACGAAACGCGCGUCUGGCGUAUAUACUAAAUUUAGUCCUGGUAUCUAUGAUGAGUUUAUUGAAAUCAUAUAACAUUUCCUGGUUCAGUCUCAUUUAAAUUGAUAUAUUUUAAAACCAAGUACUAUAUGUUUCUGUCCUAGUAAAACCAGCCUGUUACUGUGUAUCAGACACGGAUUUUACUUUGUUUAGAAAUCGAUUCAGUUUUGAAAAUGUCUUAGUAUAGUACUAUAUAGGUAUAUUGAAUUAAAGUACAGGAAACGAAAAUCUUUUGAAACUGACUGUGUGUUCCAUCUUUACAUUUCAUUUACUUUUUUUCCAAAAAAUGUGUUUGUUGUUUGUGAUGAAAACAUUCAUUAAGGCGCAAUCCUCUGUAAUUAAGUUUCAAGUCAGAUUGUUGUGGUGUUUUUCUCUUUCAUUAAAAUAGAAAUCAUUUACUUAAGGAAGUUAGUGGCUUGUUAGACAUUUUACUACUCAAUUAGUCUCGUAGAAUAUUUUUCCGUCAACGUGAUGCAUACGAAAAAUCUGAGAGAGAAAGUUUGUUUCCCAUAAUCUGUGUUAUCUUGCAAAAACGAUAGCUGCAUGUGAUAUCAUUAGCAUAAAACUGUGUAGAAAACUGGAAAAUAAUUAUCGGAAUUUUAAUAUGAAUUAACCAUGAAAGAUUCAUAUUGGUUUUUUUCUUGCUUCUAUAAAUUCUAAAC